GCCUUUGGAAGAGACACUCGCCCAGCCCAGCCCGGGGGCGGCCGCCUGCGGAGGGAGUCAGGUGCUGCCCACCUUCUUGAUGCGCUUCCCCUGCUCACCCCGGAAGUGGUUCUCCCGGAAGUCACAGAGCUGAGGGUGCGCGGGCGGACCCCGGGCCUGCAGCUCCACAGGGGCCUGGCUCAGGCUCCCCUCCACGGCCACCCGCUCACCCUGGGAGGCCUCAGCGCGUCCUGGGAGGGAAUGUGGCCGCCUCGCUGGCUUUGCAUGUUUAAGAGACACUCGGGCCCUGGAGCUUCUUCGCCGCCGCCAUCUCUCGGGAGCCGAGGCCCGCGCCCUCGAGAGCCACAUCUUCGCGGCGGAAACUGGAGCCCGGAGAGAGGGGAAGGAAGAAGGGACGUGCCGAGAAGGUCGUACCUGGCUCCUCGGAAGAACCGAUAAAACCUUCACAAGCCGCUGAGGACGUGGGUGUCGAGUGAAGUAUGGAGCUACAGGGAAAGGAGAGACGGGCCUGUGGACGCGCAGAGGUGAUGCAGACCGUCUCCUGCGGGUCCCGGGGGAGGGGCCGGUGCCGCCAGGUGCCGCGGGGCCGCACGGUGCAGGCCGGCUCACUGACACCCGGAGGAAGGCGAUGGCCCAGGGCCCGGGCUCAGGGCUGUUGCCGCGUCUGAACAAAGACGUCCGGGCGCCCACUCUGGACGGUGCCUGUGGCCAGACGCCGUGCAAGGACGUCCCCACCUGGCGGCGCUGCUGCCGGCUCCUCGGAAAGAUGGACCCCUGGCCAGGUGGACACCCAUCAGCGGAGACCCCGGGACAUCAACGCCCGGGGGAGCUGCCGGACGACAACCAGCCGUGCUAAUCUCCGGGUUUGCUG